GAUGAACGCUGGCGGCGUGCCUAAUACAUGCAAGUCGAGCGAACAGACGAGGAGCUUGCUCCUCUGACGUUAGCGGCGGACGGGUGAGUAACACGUGGAUAACCUACCUAUAAGACUGGGAUAACUUCGGGAAACCGGAGCUAAUACCGGAUAAUAUAUUGAACCGCAUGGUUCAAUAGUGAAAGACGGUUUUGCUGUCACUUAUAGAUGGAUCCGCGCCGCAUUAGCUAGUUGGUAAGGUAACGGCUUACCAAGGCAACGAUGCGUAGCCGACCUGAGAGGGGGAUACGCCCACCUGGAACUGAGACACGGUCCAGACUCCUACGGGAGGCAGCAGUGGGGAAUCUUGCAGAAAGGGCGGAAGCCUGAUGGGGCCAAACCGCGGGGGGGAAGAAGGCCUUCGGGUUGUAAAACCCUUUUUUUGGGGAAAAAAAAAAGGUGUAUAAAACCUGGCUGUUCUGACGGUACCCAAAGAAAAAGCCCCGGCUAACUUCGUG
rnacentral:rRNA from 1 species